GACAGAGGGGGCAAGCGUUGUCCGGAGUAACUGGGCGUACAGCGCGCGCAGGCGGAUGCGGACGUGCCGUGUCACAGCCCUGAGCUCACCUCAGGGUGGCCACGGUAGACGCCGCGUCUGGAGGCAGGGAGAGGGAUGUGGAAUACCCGGUGGAGCGGUGAAAUGCGCAGAUAUCAGGAGGAACACCGAUGGCGAAGGCAGCUUGCUGGGACGGUACUGACGCUGAGACGCGAAAGCGUGGGGAGCAAACAGG
rnacentral:rRNA from 1 species